rnacentral:rRNA from 1 species
AGAGUUUGAUCAUGGCUCAGGAUGAACGCUAGCUACAGGCUUAACACAUGCAAGUCGAGGGGCAGCAUUGGGGUAGCAAUACUUCAGAUGGCGACCGGCGCACGGGUGAGUAACACGUAUCCAACCUGCCGCUUACUCGGGGAUAGCCUUUCGAAAGAAAGAUUAAUACCCGAUGGUAUAAAGAGUUCGCAUGUUCUCUUUAUUAAAGAAUUUCGGUAAGCGAUGGGGAUGCGUUCCAUUAGAUAGUUGGCGGGGUAACGGCCCACCAAGUCUACGAUGGAUAGGGGUUCUGAGAGGAAGGUCCCCCACAUUGGAACUGAGACACGGUCCAAACUCCUACGGGAGGCAGCAGUGAGGAAUAUUGGUCAAUGGACGAGAGUCUGAACCAGCCAAAGUAGCGUGAAGGAUGACUGCCCUAUGGGUUGUAAACUUCUUUUAUAAGGGAAUAAAGUGAGGGACGUGUCCCUUUUUGUAUGUACCUUAUGAAUAAGGAUCGGCUAACUCCGUGCCAGCCGCGGC